GACGAACGCUGGCGGCGUGCCUAAUACAUGCAAGUUGAGCGCUGAAGGUUGGUACUUGUACCAACUGGAUGAGCAGCGAACGGGUGAGUAACGCGUGGGGAAUCUGCCUUUGAGCGGGGGACAACAUUUGGAAACGAAUGCUAAUACCGCAUAAAAACUUUAAACACAAGUUUUAAGUUUGAAAGAUGCAAUUGCAUCACUCAAAGAUGAUCCCGCGUUGUAUUAGCUAGUUGGUGAGGUAAAGGCUCACCAAGGCGAUGAUACAUAGCCGACCUGAGAGGGUGAUCGGCCACAUUGGGACUGAGACACGGCCCAAACUCCUACGGGAGGCAGCAGUAGGGAAUCUUCGGCAAUGGACGAAAGUCUGACCGAGCAACGCCGCGUGAGUAAAGAAGGGUUUCGGAUCGUAAAACUCUGUUGGUAGAGAAGAACGUUGGUGAGAGUGGAAAGCUCAUCAAGUGACGGUAACUACCCAGAAAGGGACGGCUAACUACGUG
rnacentral:rRNA from 1 species